rnacentral:misc_RNA from 1 species
UAUUACCUUGUUUACCUCUAGUUCUAUAGUUAAUAAUGCUGGUAGUAUUACCUUGUUUACCUCUAGUUCUAUAGUUAAUAAUGCUGGUAGUAUUACCUUGUUUACCUCUAGUUCUAUAGUUAAUAAUGCUGGUGGUAUUACCUUGUUUACCUUUAGUUCUACAGUUAAUAAUGUCGGUUUUCUCAUCUUUUCCAGAUGUCUCCAAGUAAUCAACUGAUCUCGCCAAGACUACACACUCUAACCCUACCAGGAACUGAAGUUGUUGACACUGAUGACAGAAAUUGUUCUGGUGCUACACCUAGGUAUGCUCAAUCACGAAGCCAUGUCAAGCGAUAUGUUCUUCCUAGUGGCAAUACUGAAGAUAGCCAAGAGUGGAGAGGUCAGCCUGCAAUUAGACAGAGAAGGUCUGGGCUUCUAACAGUCAUAGAGAAACAACCAGUGACGCGGCGAGCAAGUGAUGGAUGUCCAGCAGUCAGUCCUCAUCGCUUGGAGCGACUUCAUAAUCAGUGUGGGGUUAGCAGCCAGUCGUCAUGUGAAGGUUUUCCCACAGUGAAAGCAUUACAACAGGAAUAUCAACAGCUACAGAGAAACACUGGACCAACAGAUAGCCAGUUACAAGCCGAGAUGCAAAGACGACAUUCGCUUCACAUCCAACAGAUGUCCUACCUCCACCCUCAUUUAGCCACCACUUCUACUUCUUCACCUCCUUCGAUCGCAGGUUCCCCCAUUCACCAGACGUCGUGUAGUGGCUCAAAUUCUCAAGCUUCUCUCUCGCAGCAUCUGCAACGACUUCAUCUUCAGCGUCGAGGCAGCCCUGUAGGAUUUGGAGGUCCUCAUUGUGCUAGCCCAUCACCCCCACCAUCUGUAGGAAACAGUGUGGAAACGGGUACAGAAAGGAUGUCUCCACCGUACUCUAGGAUUUGUGGUGUCUCGUCACCUCAGCAACAUACCGCGUCUCCUACCGGUCCUUAUCCCGACUCUCCUACUCACUUCUCGGCUAUCUACCCUCGCCUCCAAACUCUAGUUGGUCAGAAUCCCCGAAAUAAUUCUCCUCCUACUUUUCAGAAUCUAGGCAUGAUCCAGGAGGACUCCACAGAGCACACUCAUUCAGCAUUAUUGAGCUUAAACUCUUCAAAUGUGGAACCAUUUCAGACUAGUUCAACUCUUCCUGUCUACACUCAGAUAUUUCCCAAAAUAAGUAUUACAGAUGAAACGGGAGAAGUUCACCUUUCUCCUACAAGUUCUGAUACUUUUAAUAUUGCCAAAGCCCACUUACUGUCGGUUAAACAAACCAGGUCUCUCCCAACGACUCCACCACUUACUAAGUUUCAGGAAAAAGGCAGUAAUAUCAUGGAUUGUUGUAGUGCUGUUGCACUGGGAGAAUUCCAGUCAUCCUUUUCUGAGACUGAACUGAAUUCUGGGAACUGGCUAUUUGAAGCUGCAAGAAGCCAGGCUGAACAAGUAGAUUGUAAUUCCUCGAAAUCUUUACCGAGGUGGUCAACAAUUCAAACCACCAGAGAAUCUUUUAUCAGUACUGGACAUCUAAGAGAGAGUUUUCCACCUGCUGACUACAGUGCAUCAAAACUUCACCCUGGCAGUGACAACUCGGCACAGAGUAGCAUGGCUGCUCUUUCUUCUAGUCUCACAACUGGUUUUUCACCUUGUGACGUUGGUGCUUCGGAGCUUCAGAAAACUGCAAGUGGUAACAUCUGUGUGACAAUUGGGUCCAUCGAUGAUACUGUGUGCUGUACAGAACUUCUGGAACAAGUCCAGCAGAAACUAGGCUCAAAGGGUUUAUCUCUAGUAUUCCAACCCUCCGAAAGAGGUUUUGCAUUAGAACAUCCAGAUGGAGUACAAAUAGAACUUGAAAUUUAUAAUGGGUCAGGGCCGUCGGAGAGAGGACUGAAAAUGCGACGGAUAUCGGGAGACAGUUUGCAAUAUAAUCAAAUUUGUAACGAAUUCAUCGCAUGUAUGAACAUGUGAUGUCCUUAAUGUUUACCAGUUUGCCUUAAUUGAACUGCAUAUACUUACUCUUGGUGAUAACUACUAUGGCUCCUCAAAGUUAUUUCAGCUAGUCAGAUGAUCUUUUUUUUUUUGCGUGUUUUGGCCAAAAACUAUAAACUUUAUUAAAACUAAGUGCGAGUGUACAUGUUGUUCACACCCGCGACUUGAAUCAAACGAUAUUUUGAUUAAGAGCCGAGUUAUAGGUGAUGACAUUUGCUCAAGAUAUGUAGUUUAAUGUAUACAUAAGGAUUAUGUAAAGAUCUCCUUUCUAAAGCUUACAUUUAGAAUCUCCUGUAGGAGUUUGGUGAGUACUGUGGCUGUGCCUGCAUUUAAGUUGAUGGUAAGCUUAAUGUUUAAACACUGCUCAGGAAGCUGACCCAUGCCUCUAACUCUUCAUCCAGACACUUCAAUGAAUUGGACGAGCUAAUCCACUUGUAAUGGUAAUAUCAGUAUUUAGAAACAACUAGUUAACUGCUAAGUGAGGGCGAGUACGUUAACAAAAGUUUAAAACGAAUGUUUUAUUUCUAAGAUUCAAUAGAGUUGUCUUCUCUGUCUCUUUCCGUUCCAGCCAAUUAUAUUUAUUUAUCACGAUGAUGAAGAUCGAGGAUGUCGAAAGUUCUUUGGCUCCAAGUAGAGAUAACCUGUAAACUGAAUAGUUCUUGGUGGUACAGUUUCCCGAACACUCCUUACUGUGGUACGUUACAAUGAAAAGAAUAAAUUAGCGUCUAGUCCGAAAUCUUGAUCUUUUCUACGUUAACCCGACUAUAAGUAGAAGUAUCAAGGUGCUUCUGCUGUUCUUGGUAAUUACUUAAUUGACAUCUGAAGGAUUACUUGUUUCUUUAUGUAUAUCCAGCAGGUCGAGAUGAGUGCUUGUUUCUAAGAAACUGCUAUAGAAGUUAAAACUCUUAUUAUUCAAGAUAAUACGGAACAAUAAAUUAAUAUAUAGUUGAUCGUA